AUCCAGCUGACGAGUCCCAAAUAAGACGAAACACACACCUUGGAU
rfam:Schistosoma haematobium scaffold1035_3, whole genome shotgun sequence.